rnacentral:misc_RNA from 1 species
GAUGAAGAACGUAGCGAAAUGCGAUAAGUAAUGUGAAUUGCAGAAUGCAGUGAAUCAUCGAAUCUUUGAACGCACAUUGCGCCCCUUGGUAUUCCGAGGGGCAUGUCUGUUCGAGCGUCAUUAUAACCCCUCAAGCUCAGCUUGGUGUUGGGGCCUGCUGCACUGGCAGCCCUUAAAAUCAGUGGCGGCGCCAUCUGGCUCUAAGCGUAGUAAUUCUUCUCGCUAUGGAGUCCUGGUGGAUGCUUGCCAUCAACCCCCAAUUUUUCUAUGGUUGACCUCGGAUCAGGUAGGGAUACCCGCUGAACUUAAGCAUAUCAAUAAGCGGAGGA